rnacentral:rRNA from 1 species
AGAGUUUGAUCAUGGCUCAGAUUGAACGCUGGCGGCAUGCCUAACACAUGCAAGUCGAACGGUAACAGGACUAGCUUGCUAGUUGCUGACGAGUGGCGGACGGGUGAGUAAAGUAUAGGAACUUGCCUAAUAGUGGGGGACAACGUGUGGAAACGCACGCUAAUACCGCAUACGCUCUACGGAGGAAAGCGGGGGAUCUUCGGACCUCGUGCUAUUAGAUAGGCCUAUAUAGGAUUAGCUAGUUGGUAAGGUAAUGGCUUACCAAGGCGACGAUCCUUAGCUGGUUUGAGAGAAUGAUCAGCCACACUGGGACUGAGACACGGCCCAGACUCCUACGGGAGGCAGCAGUGGGGAAUAUUGCACAAUGGGCGAAAGCCUGAUGCAGCAAUGCCGCGUGUGUGAAGAAGGCCUUCGGGUUGUAAAGCACUUUCAGACGUGAGGAAAAGCUAAGUAUUAAUACUAUUUAGCCCUGACGUUAACGUCAGAAGAAGCACCGGCUAACUCCGUGCCAGCAGCCGCGGUAAUACGGAGGGUGCAAGCGUUAAUCGGAAUUACUGGGCGUAAAGCGCGCGUAGGCGGUUAUUUAAGUCAGAUGUGAGAUCCCUGGGCUCAACCUAGGAACUGCAUUUGAUACUGGAUAACUAGAGUAUGGUAGAGGUGAGUGGAAUUUCAGGUGUAGCGGUGAAAUGCGUAGAGAUCUGAAGGAACAUCAGUGGCGAGGCGACUCACUGGGCCAUUACUGACGCUGAGUGCGAAAGCGUGGGUAGCAAACAGGAUUAGAUACCCUGGUAUCCACGCCCUAAACGAUGUCACUAGGUGUAUGGAAGUUUAUCUUCUGUGUAUCCAAGCUAAGCGAUAAA